rnacentral:rRNA from 1 species
CACGUAGGCACCAAGCGUUUGUCCGGAUUUAUUGGGCGUAAAGAGCUCGUAGGCGGUUCGAUAAGUCGGGUGUGAAAACUUUGGGCUCAACCCAAAGCGUGCAUUCGAUACUGUUGUGACUAGAGUUCGGUAGGGGAGUGGGGAAUUCCUAGUGUAGCGGUGAAAUGCGCAGAUAUCAGGAGGAACACCGGUGGCGAAGGCGGUUCCCUGGGCAUGUCCUGACGCUGAGGAGCGAAAGUGUGGGGGAGCGAACAGG